UGGAUUCUCUUCAGUAUCAUCUUUUUGAACUCGGAUUUUACCGAGCCUGGGACCACCAGGUCAUCGACUUUGGUGAAAUUUACUUUGUCACAGUUGUGGAACCUAAGUUGUUCAGUUGCGUUUCCGUAUCUGAUUGUUCCGCUGCGCAGGUUCAAUGCCGCUCCCGCUCGCGUUAGCAAAUCGGAACCUAUAAUGGCAUCGAACGUAGCUAGAGUGUCUAACAAAAAAAAUGGGGCGUUUUGCCCGAAAAUAUUCAUUAGGCACUUGUUUUUUAUUUCACUGGAGCCAUGUAUCGAGCUCACGGUGAAGGGGGCGUCGACCGAAGUUACGUUUUUCAGCUCCUUUAUGGGCUUUACGUAAUUUUUAGCCGCACCAGUGUCGAUUAAAAUUUUUAGUGUUUUGCCAGCCAACUGUCGCUCGACGAACGGCAAUUGGGAGCGCUCACUAAAAAAAUUGAACAGGUCGUUGCCGCUAGCCGAAUCACUUUCUUCGUCAAUUUCCGCAACCGCGGCCUCGGCUAAGUUUGCAUAUUCUUGUUCCCCUUGGUUAGGGGCCUGCUGUAUUAUAUUAUUUAUCCCUUGGCGUCUUUGCCCAGAUAUACGAUCUGACGUGUUCCGCCUUUUCUGAGCUUCGCCCUGUGUGACGUCGCUCUGUGGUUUCCCCCAAUUGGUCUGUUGCCUAAACCUAGACAUCGAUGGGUCAACUUCCAUAGGCUGCACUUGGUUUUGUUGUGGGGCCUCUUUAUCGUUUGGCUUUGGCCAAGGAUCACCCUGUUGCUGCCUAUUUUGAUUACUUUUUCCCACAAAAUGUGGGUUCUUUUCCUGACCUCUACCUUGUCUGGCCUGGGCCCGAUGACCCUGUCUAUUGCCGUCGCCUGAAUGGUUUUUAUCCUCGAUCACCUUUGCAUACGUAGCGGCAAAUGCGCUUCUCUCAAUGCUAUUUUCGGCCUCGCGAGCUAGAGCUAAGGCGGAUGGAAAAUCCUUGGGCUGUGCCGGGAGAACGAACAAUUUUAGCGGCCUCUUGAGGCCCGCUAUGAAUGCGUGUAAAGCAUCAUUCCUAAUUUCCUCGUUGAGAAUGGUAGCUGCCUCCUCAUUAUGAGUCAUGAGUCUUUGUUAGUGACGAGCGUGAGCUUUCUCUCGACUUCGUCAUAAUAUUCCAUUAGAUCGGUUUCACCCUGCCUAACCAUUUCCAAGUGUUGACGUAAUACAUCCCUACGAUGUUUUGUCCGCAUAUGUGCAAUCGAGUCUAGCUAUGAUUGCAUCAAAAUUGAGCACCGUGUUGUGCGAUGUGAGCAAUGCUCGAGCUGUUCCACAGAUUUUAUUUUUUAUGAUGGCCACAGCCUCGUAGUGUGUCUGACUACCAGAGUAGUUUUUGAAAACUUCGUAUGCAUCUAGAGCAGAUUGUCUCCAAGACACAUAUUCCUCAUGAUUCCCGUUGAAAGUUGGUACUGAUUUUAUGAUAUCUAGUUUCAUUUCACAUUUUAUACUAGGGUCAAUGGUCACUCUCUUAUAAGUUUCCACCUGAGGGACACCUACAGUUAGAGCGCUCACACUAUUUCUAACUUUUUCGAGUUCCCUGCUAAAUUCUGCACUCAGUCGUCGUUCCUGUUCGACGAGGGCUGUGUUGAUUGCGCCUUCUACUAACGCUUUUAUCAUGGCUGGGUCCAUUUUAAAUUGAUUCUGCACUGUUCUGACUGGUGGCUGGUACAAUAAGUCUAGGCUCUCGUCGCUGUCGUAUUCGACCUUGUUUCUGUAGUCCCAACUCAUAAACGAUCAGCGAAGGGGAGAUCAAAAUUCUCUCACAAGCUUUAUUUUUUCCGAACAGUCACUUACAUGUUAUUUUUCUUGGGGACGUGGAUCCUAAAUCCCGUUGGGCGCCAAUUAACUUUAUGGCGUUUUUUGGUCCGAGCUGCGGUAUGCGUUGCGUUGGCUCCGGCGGCAGCGAUCGGGUUCCCGUGGCCCGCUCUUGUAGCGGGGGACGGUGGUUGCGGUUGGCAACUGAGUCUUCUACCGAAGAUUAUGUUGAGAGGGUAAUUGCCCUCUAUUUCGUUGGCCCUUAAGGCUCAACAAUAUGAUUAUAUCAAUACACGUUUUACGACUCGUGUCGGAGUUGAUAUGAACGCUCCGUUCAUUUAUUCGUC
rnacentral:lncRNA from 1 species